AAUGUCCUGUACAACCACAACACAAUGUCCCAACUUGUAUACUCAAUGCACUGACCAAUAAAGGCAAACAUACCAAGUGCCUUGACUACAGUAGCCUCAAUGUCAACUACAGAUCAAUGGCCAUUCAACAAACGGCUUGCAUUACAAGGUAUCAAACAAAAGAAUAUACUUGUCGUGUUGUUAUGAAGAUGUGGGUAUACCCUUAAGAGAGCUAAAGGCAGCAGAACAACUGGACACAACAUAAAGUGUUCUCAAUGAGGCAACAAUAUAUGUAACACUAGGGCAACAAUAUAUGUAAGCUU